CGCGCAUCUCUAGCAAAGUACUCUAUUAGUUCAAGAAGCUUCUUUUAUUAAUCUAUAUUUUUCUGUUGUCAUAAUAAAAAAAAAUAACUUUCUGUGAUUACUUUCUGUGUAAAUAAUUAUAAAUUUAGUCAUAACCAUAAGCUCGUAGACGUUCAAUUCAAUGUUCAAUUUAUACAAAAAUGUCGUCUGAAGCACCAGAUCAGUUCGACCAAUUUGACGAUGAAGAAGGAGAUCCACAGUUGGGUGCCACAGCUUCGGGUAGGAAACGAUUAUUCAGCAAAGAACUUCGUUGUAUGAUGUAUGGUUUUGGUGAUGAUCGGAAUCCAUACACCGAGAGUGUCGACUUUCUAGAAGAUCUUGUAAUAGAGUUUAUUACUGAGACUACCCACAAAGCUAUGGAAGUAGGUAGACCUGGUCGUGUUCAAGUUGAAGAUAUCAUAUUUUUAGUUCGUAAAGAUCACAGGAAGUAUGCCAGAGUUAAGGAUCUGUUGACCAUGAAUGAGGAAUUGAAAAAGGCUCGGAAAGCUUUUGAUGAGGUCAAAUAUGUUGAAGACCAACAAUAAGUUUGGUGGUCAAACAACAUCAUGCUCUGAGACUGAUAAUGAAAAUUUCGAGGAAAAGGUGUAUGAAAUCGACCUUGGAGUAAACUUCUUAUUUCAUAAUUUUUCUUUAAAAUAUAUCUGAUAAUUAUUUGUA